rnacentral:misc_RNA from 1 species
UUGGUAACAGCAAGGGUAUGGUCAACGAGCCGUUGCAUCGGUUUGCGACAACGUAGAUUAGAUUUGGUAACAACAACAACAACAAAUAAUGGAAACCGAUAUAUCUCCGGGAAGAAAAAAUUAUUCAAUUGAAAUAACUGUAAAACAAAAUUUCCAAAAUUCUCCGGCGAGAUAGAGAGAGAAAAUGGAUCCGUGUCCGGCGAAGUAGGA